rnacentral:rRNA from 1 species
UACGAAGGGGGCUAGCGUUGCUCGGAAUCACUGGGCGUAAAGCGCACGUAGGCGGAUUGUUAAGUCAGGGGUGAAAUCCUGGAGCUCAACUCCAGAACUGCCUUUGAUACUGGCGAUCUCGAGUCCGGGAGAGGUGAGUGGAACUGCAAGUGUAGAGGUGAAAUUCGUAGAUAUUCGCAAGAACACCAGUGGCGAAGGCGGACUCACUGGCCCGGUACUGACGCUGAGGUGCGAAAGCGUGGGGAGCAA